GGGGUCGUCGUCUAGUUUGGACAACUCCUCGGGAUUUUCCAGUUUCCUACGGGAAUUUCCCUGAGUCCAAAAUAGGAUACAUGCCUGGGGCGCAUGCGAUCCUGGGUUCAAAUCCCAGCGGCCCCACCA
rnacentral:tRNA from 1 species